rnacentral:rRNA from 1 species
AACGCGAAGAACCUUACCUACCCUUGACAUUCUCAGAACCUGCUAGAGAUAGCGGGGUGCCUUCGGGAACUGAGUAACAGGUGCUGCAUGGCUGUCGUCAGCUCGUGUCGUGAGAUGUUGGGUUAAGUCCCUUAACGAGCGCAACCCCUAUCCUUAGUUGCCAACAGGUUAUGCUGGGAACUCUAGGGAGACUGCCGGUGAUAAACCGGAGGAAGGCGGGGAUGGAUGUCAAGUCCUCAUGGCCCUUACGGGUAGGGCUACACACGUGCUACAAUGGGCAGUACAAAGGGAAGCCAAACCGCAAGGUGGAGCGAAUCUCACAAAGCUGCUCGUAGUCCGGAUUGGAGUCUGCAACUCGACUCCAUGAAGUUGGAAUCGCUAGUAAUCGUGGAUCAGAACGCCGCGGUGAAUACGUUCCCGGGCCUUGUACACACCGCAUAC